rnacentral:rRNA from 1 species
CUGGCCGUAAACGAUGUAGACUAGGCGCUUGUCGGGCAAAACCGGUGAGUGUCGAAGCGAACGCGAUAAGUCUACCGCCUGGGGAGUACGGUCGCAAGAUUAAAACUCAAAGGAAUUGACGGGGGCCCGCACAAGCAGCGGAGCGUGUGGUUUAAUUCGAUGAUACACGAAGAACCUUACCAGGGUUUGACAUACAGGUGGUAGAGAAGCGAAAGUGGAACGACCCUUCGGGGAGCCUGAACAGGUGC